AAAUUCUAAUUUAAGCCCUACUUGCAUGCAUGUACAAAUCACCAGCAGUAAAUAUUGUGCUAGUACUAGUAUUGAACUACAAGAAGCAAGACAGUUGCAAGCCUUUAAUUAGAGUUAUGUAAAGCUUUUGAUGGGACAGUUAGGUCCUAGAGAUGUGGUGACAACAGCUGCGC